ensembl:misc_RNA Y_RNA Y RNA
GACUGGUCCAAAGGUAGUGAGUUCUCUCAACUGAUUGUUCACAGUCACUUGCAGGUCAAGCUGCUUGUUCUAUUCUUUCCCCGCUGUCUCACUACUGCACUUAACUAGUCUUAA